rnacentral:lncRNA from 1 species
CCCAAUCCAUAUAGGGAACAAUUUUGUAAUUGCAGGUUGCAGUGAUUUGUUCUUCUGGCUUGGGGAGGAAGCGUACAGACAGCAGAGGGAGAAGAUGAUACACCGAAAAUGGAGUCUACUAACUGGUCCAGUGGCAAUCUUGGGCGGGAUCGUUGCAACGGUGGUCGUCGCCAACUUAAUCUUCGUUAAGGAUGUAAAGUUCUCUUCUCUUUUCCUUCGAUUUCCAAACCCUAGAUUUUAUAUUUGAGUUUUGGUAUCGGGGGAAUCGAAGGAUGUAUUUUCAUUUAAGAUUUCGAUUGAAAUUAUUCAUUGGAAUGAUUUGCAUUCGGUUUUAUUCGUCAUUCUUAUAUCUAAAUCGUAGGAGACAUCUAAACCUUUUGGCUAUUCGAUCGUGUCUCUGAUCGUAAUCGUAAAAAUUAGAUUUGUUUAACUUAGUUGUGAAUUAAGAAUAACACUUUUUGAAUGAUUGUGGGAGCUAUCAUUCUUUGUUAAAAUAAAGAGCGUCGCUCUCUGUUUAACUUCUGUUCAAAAAAUAUUAAAUGGAAAAACCUGUUCUGUCAUUCUUUAGAUGUUGUUAAUUAUUAGCUAGGUAGUUGAGUUUCUUUGCUGCAAUGAAAGCGCCAGUAGAGCCAGUAAGCAACGUGCACACCUGCUACACAUUUUUUACUUGAACUAAUUUCUUUAGCUGGAUUAUUUCAUAAACUGCUAGUUAUUCAAACCAAAGCUUUUUAUGCAGGGCGUAACCAUACACAUGCUAACACAUUGCGAUAUAUUUGAAAUUUGCAGGACCCAUUUCUUAAACCAAAGAAAAAGAACCAAGAUUCACCACCAUCAACCAAAUAGAACAGAAGCAAAGUGAAUUGCUUAAUGGAUGUGUUGUAAGCUUUUCAGGUGGUUUGUGUUUGUUGAUUAUUUUUCUAGCGAAACAAAUGUUUAAGCUGCAUUUUGGUACAAGGCUCUUCUUAGUUCAAUAAAGUGGAGUUCAUGAUCAAGUUUAGUAAUUUCUCUUCAUUAUGUUCACCAAAUUGCUGUUGUUAAAUCUUGAUUGAGCUACCAUGAGAGCAAGAAAAAGCAAAAUUCAGCUGUUUUUCCUUGUUCAGUAAUGAUAAUUUUUGGGGUAGAUUGCCGAGUAGGAAUACUAUGAAUUUCUGCGUCGUGUUAGCGUAUAUCCACUUUUAAUUCAUCAAGAAUGGUUAUUAAUAAUUGAUAUGGUAAAUUUUAUUCUCUUAAAAAGAAAAAUCUUAGUAUCUUCUGGGUAUAUGAUUCACUGGUAAACGUUAUUAUUAUUAUUAUGAUUGCCUUUCAAUCCUGAGAAAGACUCCAACCCCCCUUUUCAUAGGCUGGAUGUAGCUAUUUCCACUACUCCAUGAUAAGCUUGCGUUUGAAUUAACCUUCACUGCGACAGGUGAUGAGUUGUGACUACGGUUAGGUGUGAAAAAAUAUCUUUCAUUUGACCAUCAAUGCAUGUGAUUUACAUAAAGUUAACACGUAAUUUUUCUGUAUGUUUCAGGGGAAAAUAAUCUAAGGAGUAAUUUUUCCUGAAGAAAAAGGGAAAGAGGUAAAAAUAUGAUGUAUAAACAAUGGUACAAUGAAAUAAUAUGCCCCAAAGAAUCACAAUCUCUCCCUUCACAUAUGCGAACUGCCUGGUGAG